GACGAGGCAGAGGGAGGCCUAAGAGGUAUUGGGGAGAGGUGAUUAGGCAGGACAUGGCUAGAAUGCGGGUUUCCGAGGACAUGGCACUUGAUAGGAAAGUCUGGAGGUAUAGUAUCAGGGUUGUAGGAUAGGGGACCCUAGAGUUUUUCGUACUCCUCACCCGGGGUUGGACGAGGCUUGGCAGGGCUAUCCAUAGAUGAUUUGUGUAUUGGAUUGUGUCUCCCUU
rnacentral:lncRNA from 1 species